rnacentral:rRNA from 1 species
UACGUAGGGUGCGAGCGUUACUCGGAAUUACUGGGCGUAAAGCGUGCGCAGGCGGUGAGCUGUGUCCGAUGUGAAAGCCCCGGGCUUAACCUGGGAAUGGCAUUGGAAACUGGCUCGCUGGAGUGUGGCAGAGGGGGGUGGAAUUCCGCGUGUAGCAGUGAAAUGCGUAGAGAUGCGGGGGAACACCGAUGGCGAAGGCAGCCCCCUGGGCUAGCACUGACGCUCAGGCACGAAAGCGUGGGGAGCAAACAGG